UACGGAAGGCAGCAGUGGGGAAUAUUGCACAAUGGGCGCAAGCCUGAUGCAGCCAUGCCGCGUGUAUGAAGAAGGCCUUCGGGUUGUAAAGUACUUUCAGUCGUGAGGAAGGUGUUAAGGUUAAUAACCUUAGCAAUUGACGUUAGCGACAGAAGAAGCACCGGCUAACUCCGUGCCAGCAGCCGCGGUAAUACGGAGGGUGCGAGCGUUAAUCGGAAUUACUAGGCGUAAAGGGCACGCAGGCGGUUAAUUAAGUUGGAUGUGAAAUCCCCGGGCUUAACCUGGGAAUGGCAUUCAAGACUGGUUAGCUAGAGUCUUGUAGAGGGGGUAGAAUUCCAUGUGUAGCGGUGAAAUGCGUAGAGAUGUGGAGGAAUACCGGUGGCGAAGGCGGCCCCUGGACAAAGACUGACGCUCAUGUGCGAAAGCGUGGGGAGCGAAACAGGGAUUAGAUACC
rnacentral:rRNA from 1 species